AGAAUCUGGCCUCUAAGGUCCUUAUGAAGGUGUACUCCUUAAGAACGCAAGCAGCAAUGCCACUUCCAUCUUGAGGAAGUGUAAUGAGGGAACCAGCAAUGCUGGUUUCAGUGUCUCAGUUUGGCUGGAAAGGAUUUAAUCCUGACGCUGCAACAUUAACUUUCUGAGCAUAUGCUCUGUCCCCGGGGAAGACGACAGUCAAGGGAAUCUUGAACUUCUUGGAAAAUAAGAAAAUUAAGGGCUUCUUUUAAAAGGCCAACUCCAAAGCACUGGUUAAUAGUUAUAAAAAUGUUUCACAGUGCUCCAUGUCGGCUUCCCCCUGAAAAUCCAUGAUAAAGAUUGAGCGUGGUUGAAAGGCUUGUCAUGCGCAUGGGAGUGGCAUAGUGAGAUCCUGGCAGGAGCACUGUUCACAAUAGCAAAGACUUGGAAUCAACCCAGAUGCCCAUCAUUGAUAGACUGGAUAAAGAAAAUGUGGUCCAUAUAUAUCAUGGAAUACUAUGCAACCAUAAAAAGGAACAAGACCAUAUCCUUUGCAGGGACAUGGA
rnacentral:lncRNA from 1 species